UGGUCCCAUUGGUUCGGCUACCCCUCUAUCUCGAAUCUUCAUUGGCACCGUCUUUCGACGGCACCACCCCUUCCGCAUUAUAAACUCCUAGGUACGUGUUGAUUGGUCUGAAGUUCCUCUUUCCAUUUUCCCAGCGAGACCCCACCCCUGGAGAACCCAUGGCUACCUGGGUGGGAUGUGACUUUGAGGGGCACGGCAGGCCAGGCCAAGUUGGUGAUCAAGGAAUUGAAAGCAGGGGAUGAGGGCACCGCAGGGGUACAUCUGAAGCACCAGCAGUGCCUGAUACAGGGCAGAACUCAAUUUUUGUUAAACAGCAUGCCCUGUGGGCAGCCCCUGAAGCGGUGCUUGAAAGGAGGACUGAUAGCAGAGUUGAAGGGGAGAAUCCGAAGCUCUGGGGGAAAUUCAGGUGAAUCAGAACUGUGUCACCCCAAGAGAGUAAACGUGGGAUGGUGGAAAUAUUCUCACCGUUAUGCGGCCCAGGGAGUCACAUGCCCUAGAAAAGCAAGGGGGUGCGUUCAUAAUCACAAAUGGAGCCGACAGGUCAAGGACACCAAAGAU